rnacentral:rRNA from 1 species
GACAUUGGGUAGAGACUGUUAAAGCCACCUGGUCCCAGCAGACCCCAGAAGGCAGCCACAUUCACUGGUGCUGGGGCAAGUUGUUGAGGGUGAAGCCUGGUGUCAGAUGUGU